rnacentral:tRNA from 1 species
GCCCGCUUGGCGGAACCGGUAGACGCACGGGACUUAAAAUCCCGAGGCCCUCGGCCGUGGGGGUUCGAGUCCCCCAGCGGGCACCA